rnacentral:rRNA from 1 species
UACGAAGGGGCUAGCGUUGCUCGGAAUCGACUAGGGCGUAAAGCGCACGUAGGCGGAUUGCUAAGUCAGGGGUGAAAUCCUGGAGCUCAACUCCAGACUGCCUUUGAUACUGGCGACCUUGAGGUCCGGGAGAUGGUGAGUGGAACUGCGAAGUGUAGAGGUGAAUUCGUAGAUAUUCGCAAGAACGACCAGUGGCGGAAGGCGGCUCACUGGCCCGGUACUGGAACGCGUGACGGGUGCGAAAAGCGGUGGGGAGCAA